GGAGGUGUCCGCACGCCUGGUGGGUGCCGCCGCCUUCAAAGCGGUCGGGGUGGGCGAUCCCCACCCGGCGGGUUCGAUUCCCGUCCACCUCCGCCA
rnacentral:tRNA from 1 species